rnacentral:lncRNA from 10 species
ACCCGGCCGCUGCUGCGGUCCGGACGGCAGUUGGUCCAGUAGUUUCGGAUGCCCGGGCUAGGCUCGGCGGAGAGCGAGUCGGCGUGAAUGAGAGCAAACCAACAGGGCUGUGCGUGGCGCGUAAAGAAGUGUUGAAGAAGAGAGAGACAGAAGAAAAUCACCAUAAAAAGUCAGACACGAGAGCUUAGAAGUCAAUUAAGACAGGGCUUGGAAGGGGCAUUAGUUCAUGGGACUGGAUAGUGAUUGACUUUUGAGUGGCCUUCCUCAAAGCAUGGUCUGAAGACCACUGCAUCAGGAUCACCAGAGCCUCUUGUUGAAAAUAAAAAAAAAACACCUCUGUUUGCAUCUGUAGACAAAGAUCUGUUCAGAAUGGUUGGCUUUGUGAGUUUACAGCUGGCCGAUGAGAGGUGCUGCAUGAUAUUGGAAGAUGGGACAGAAGGAACCAGUAUUCUGCAGAGGCAGUUGCAUGAGCAGAUAUGAAAUGUCCUGGAGGCUCCCCCAGUAAGCUGAGAAGCACCUGCUUUCCCACUAUAGACUGAGACCACUGAUGGAAGCUUCCCAGAGAUUUGAGAAUUGCAGAAGCUUCUGUGAGCUAUGAAGAACAACGUGACUUUGACCUUCAGACUGAGAUAUAGCUGGAGGCUGCUUUGACCUUCUUUCCCACAGCUCUUUUGACCUUUCUAAAGCCCCAAACCCUAUCUUAAAAAUGACAAAUAUGGAAUGCAAAGAGCAGCUUUUCUUUUUCUGAUCAUGGCCUUAAUGUAAUACAAUAGUGAAACCGUCUAGCAUAGUGAUUAAGAACAUUGGCUGUAGAAUUAGACAUAUUUAGUUUAGCAUUUUGAUUCUACCCCAAACUGGCAAAGUUACUGAAUGUAUCUAAAUUUUAAUUUGCUCA